ensembl:lncRNA
GGGCUGGGAGUCCCAGCUGACCCAAAUUGGGAUCCAGAGACUGGGUGUAUCCGAUAAGCCGGUGAAUCAGAGGUCCUCCAGACCUCUAUUUACAGGAGAGGAAGAGUUCCUGUGGUCAAGUCUCCGGGGCAGAGGAGGAGAACCCAGGAAAUGGGCGUCUACGUUCUCUCUCCUGAGCCAAGCCGUGGUGACUACAAGCAAAAGCUGAAGGGCAGUGUUUUCAUCAUACUUGGGGCCCACGUGUGGGUUAAAGACCAAACUACAAUGAAUGGAGAGGACCCCACACAGUGGACUGCAGAAUAAAGUCGCUCUUUCUUCCUACAGCAGUCUCAAGACUACUGGAGCCCUCGGCUUCAUAAGGUCAUUCAUGAGCUCAGAGCCUUUCCAUCUGUUGUUUCCCGUUUGCCAGGCCACUGUCGUUGUGCACGGUUGAUGCUGGGUCACCAGCAUGGCUGGAGGAGGAAAGAGCGUGGAGACUUCCCCAGCAUCUCAAGGCCCAGACCUGGAAGGAGCUCCUCUGGCUCUGCGUUGCAUUAGUGCGCACUCAGUCACACAGUCAGGGAGGCUGGAAAAUGGACUCUAGCGUGCCAUCACGUGCCCACAGCAAUGCUGUUGCUGGUGGUAGAGAGCUAGCAGUCUGUGCCAUGGCUUCGCCGGGGUUGGGCCACCACAGUGCCAGACAGCCUGGAGGGAAGCACCCACCGUGCUCCUGUGGGACGCACAGAGUGCUGCUGGUCACAGGGCACAGUGAGACACUGGACCUCGAGGGCGGGAGCCCCAGGAGGCAGCAGAGCAGAACUCUCCAGAGAGGCCCUCUCUCCACGGCCAGUGUGCAAUGCAGAGUAAGAAUGAGCUAAGAGCAGAAAAACCUACCCAGGGAUGCCCAGGGACUCCCAAGCCUGCCCACAGGAACCUCAGCCCUGGAGGGGAAGUGGGUCUUCAGUCAGAGGGAUGGGGCACAAGCUGGCAAAAUGGGGGUCAGUCGUGACCCUCGACUGGGUCUCGUCAGCUGCUGGGACGUGGCUGCAAAUGACACACCUUCUGGAAAGCUUGGACCCUCACAGAGCAAGGCUGAAACCACAAUGAACGAUGGUCCUCCUAUAAUCGUCCCGAGACAGGACCCAGGAUGGGCUCUCAGUCCGUAGGUGCUGCUAUCGCUCUCACCUUGGAGAUGAGGAAGCCGGGAGAUCAGAGAGGCUCAGCAGCUUGCCCCAGUCACACAGCUUGCUCCCCGGGACAUGCUGGCAGCAGGGUCUGCUCUCAGCCUCCUGGCAGGGCCAGCAGCGGCAUCAGAACUUCUCAGGCAGACUUGCCACUGCCCUUGGCAAACAGCCCCAGGGUCACACUGAAGGCUGGCGAGCGCCCCUUCUCCCAGCUCCCUGCUCGAUGGAGCAGUCCGGGGCCUGCCCGCAAGCCUGGCGCCCUGCCUGCCUCUGAAGAUGUCCUCAGUGGGAAUCACAGCCAACGAAUGUACCAGCAGGAUGAGACGAGCUAAACGCUCAAGCAGUUCCCAGGGAACAAUGCGGCUCUGUGAGCAGCCCGGGCCGGAGCUCAGCCCUGGACAGCUGACAGGAACUAGCCCCAGCGACCAACUUGUCCUGGGGACUCCUCCAAAGCCAUCCGUGCUGUGGCCUGCUCCCUGCACUCUGGAGUUAGGACAUGUGCUUCUUGAGCCUUGGACCUCAGAGCCUCAUGGCCAGCCUCCGUCAUUCCCGCCUCUGCCUGCUGUGCUGGGAGACCCAGAGAAACAGCCCCAGCCGAGGUCCCAGCACACUAGCCUAGGCCCCCUCCUGCAC